GAUUUCUGACUGAAGCUCACUAGCCCUAUGCGGUUAACGCAUGUGUGUGCUGGCUGGGGUUCGUCAUCCUUCUAGUGAAUGGUGUUGGCUCUUCAUUGAGUUCAGCAUCAUUUCUAGAUCUUUUACUUUGAACAAAUUAGAGUGUUUCAAGCAGGCGUUUUAGCCAUGAAUACAUUAGCAUGGAAUAAUGAGUUAGGACUUCGGUUCUAUUUUGUUGGUUUCUAGGACUGAAGUAAUGAUUGAUAGGGAUAGUUGGGGGUGCUAGUAUUCAGCGGCCAGAGGUGAAAUUCUUGGAUUCGCUGAAGACUAACUUAUGCGAAAGCAUU
rnacentral:rRNA from 1 species